rnacentral:rRNA from 1 species
GACGAACGCUGGCGGCGUGCUUAACACAUGCAAGUCGAACGGUGAAGGGCCCGGUUUUUGCUGGUUCUGGCUUAGUGGCGAACGGGUGAGUAACACGUGAUUAACCUGCCCCCUUCUUCUGGAUAACCGCAUGAAAGUGUUGCUAAUACCGGAUAUUCUGUGCUUUCUGCAUGGUGGGUGUGGGAAAGAUAUUGUUUCCGUGUGGGAUGUGCUCGCGGCCUGUGAGUUUGUUGGUGUGGUGAUGUCCUACCAAGGCGGUGCUCGGUAGCCGGACUGAGAGGGUGGACAGACUGAGUGGGAGUGAGACACAACACAGAGUCGUAAGGGAGACAGCAGGAAGGAAUAGGGAACGAUGGGAGCAAGACUGAUGAAGCGAGGGCGAGUGAGGGAGGGAGGCGUGCGGGUUGUAAACCUCUAUCGCGAGGAAAGGAGGUCUGGCACAUAGGGGGAAGGAUUGACGGUAGCGGGAUAAGAAGCGACGGCUAACUACGUG